AUUCACAGGCUUGUGAUGAUGGAGCUGUGGCUGGAUUUUGGGUCUGAGCAUACUACUCUCGGUAUUUGGAGACCUCCGUAAGAACCUAUGAUAAUAUCCAUUGAAAAUGACUCUAUGUUGAAGAUGCCUGGACUAACCUACUGAAGAUACGUGGUUUUACCAACAGCCAGCACCAAUAGGAAGAUAUGAAUGAAGCCAUCUGAGACCAGCCAUCUGGCAGCCAAACUGCCAACUGACUGCAAAUGCAUGAAUGAUCCCACUGACACCACGUAGAGCACAAAUGAGUUGCCUCCACUGAGCCCAGCCCAAAUUGUUAUCCUAUAAAAUCAUAAAAACAUAAACAGUUGUUUUAAGUCACUAAGUUUUGGAUAGUUUGUUAUACAACAAAAGCUAGCUGAAACAAAUGUAUUAGCUAGAGCAGCUGUGAAUGGCACUAUUUGCUUAGUUGAUUGGCUGAAAUUUGGACUCACUGGUAGGUUACAUUUAAUGGUGUUGAGUUGCCAGAAUUUCUCUGGAAUAAUGUAUAGGAAGGAUUCUAAUGGCCUAAGCCAUUAGAAUCUCUAAGGAGAUAGAAAUAAAGGAGUGAUUUAUUAUAUGUAACUGUGCCUCUUCCCUCACCACACUUGGUCCUGAAAGAGCCUAAGGAAUAGUUUCUUCUCUAAAGCAUUGAAAAAUGCUUUAAUGGGAGAAGCCCCAGCACCCUUGAACAUGUUCAGGCAGCUGCUUUCUAUAGGCCAAGGAUGUGGUGGGAAAAUCUGCCUGAUCUCAAUGUAGAUGAUGAGAUCCCAGAGUAGCGAUCAGCAUUUUUUACCAGCAGGAAUAAUCUUUGGUGGUGGUUGGCUCUAAGAAUUAAAUAGAUGUGGGCCGGGCGUGGUGGCUCAUGCUUGAAAUCCCAGCACUUUGGGAGGCUGAGGUGGGUGGAUCACCCAAGGUUGGGAGUUCAAGACCAGCCUGACCAACAUGGAGAAACCCCGCCUCUACUAAAAAUACAAAAUUAUUUUUGUAUGGUGGCACAUGCCUGUAAUCCUAGCUACUCAGGAGGCUGAGGCAGGAGAAUCGCUUGAACCCGGGAGGCGGAGGUUGCAGUGAGCUGAGAUUGUGCCAUUGCACUCCAGCCUGGGCAACAAGAGUGAAACUCCGUCACACACACACACAAAAAAAGAAUUAAAUAGAUAAUAGAUGUGUAGCCUGCCAAAGCAUUACUUGAUCUGUAUAAUAGAAACCAGACCUGAGGUAACACAUGCAUGGUGAUAUGUGCCUAUAGUCCCAGCUACUCAGGAAGCUGAGGUGGGAGAAUCACUUGAGCCUGGGAGGUCAAGGCUACAGUGAGCCAUGAUUGUACCACUGCACUCCAGCCUGGGAGACAGAGUGAGACCCUGUCUCA
rnacentral:lncRNA from 1 species